rfam:Triticum aestivum genome assembly, contig: Triticum_aestivum_CS42_TGACv1_scaffold_406827_5BL
UUUCUACUCCCUCCGUCCCGAAUUACUUGUCAUAGAAAUGGAUAAAAAUGGAUGUAUCUAGAACUAAAUUUAUCUAGAUACAUCAAUUUCUCCGACAAGUAUUUCCGGAUGGAGGGAGUAUUUU